rnacentral:rRNA from 1 species
UACGGGGGGAGCAAGCGUUGUUCGGAUUUACUGGGCGUAAAGGGCUCGUAGGCGGCCAACUAAGUCAGACGUGAAAUCCCUCGGCUUAACCGGGGAACUGCGUCUGAUACUGGAUGGCUCGCGUUUGGGAGAGGGAUGCGGAAUUCCAGGUGUAGCGGUGAAAUGCGUAGAUAUCUGGAGGAACACCGGUGGCGAAGGCGGCAUCCUGGACCAAUACUGACGCUGAAUAGCGAAAGCCAGGGGAGCAAACGGG